rnacentral:tRNA from 1 species
GCCUACUGGUUAAGACGCCAGGCUACAAACCUCAUGGUCGUGGGUUCGAG